GCUACACAAGCUUUUAGUGCCAAGUGGCUUCAAACAGUUUUGUAAGAAUUGUGCUUUGUAUUCUUAAGUGAAUUCUUUAAUGAAUGCAAGCAUGUUGUAUGUACCAGCUUGUAUAUUUUCUGUCAUAACUAAUGCCGGACCAUUUUAAAACUGCAGCGGUCUUUUUUCUGCUAGGUUUAGCACUUUAGCUAGCUAGCCUACUCUGUGGUCAAGAUACUUGUUAAAAUGAGUUACGAAGCUGUACUUUAUUGGGCUUGGGUUAGUAGGUGCAAAGGACAUCACUGUAAAGGGAUUAGAAAUUGUAAAGCAAUGAAUUUGUGUCUACCAGGAAGCCUACACGUCCAUUUUGACAGUUGGCAAAGAUGCACUGGUAUGGUUAAUAUUAUGUACUACUUGUGAAUGCGGUGACAGACUGACAGUGAUAUUGUGAGAAUGCUACAAUCCCUCGAUCACCUGUACAUUUUGAAGUCAGCCCUCAUGUAGUCCAGAGCAGGUGAUAACUGCAUCAGGGUACAAUCCCUUCUGAAGUGCAUGUUAUUGACUUUGCUUCUAGUUUCAGAUCAAAACAAGAGUAUUGGUAUAACAUUACAUUCAUGUUUCUUUAGCUGAAAUGACCAUUGUAGUGAGUGGCUGGAAAUCUUACAGACUGCGGCUUCAGUGAUAGUUCCUACUCCUAGUGUUUUCUUAAAAAUGGAGUAAAGGUCACAAAUUGUAUAGUUUAUAGACACACACUGUAUGUUUGCUAAACAACAGCUCAAGCUGGCAGAAUGGGGACAAAGGUUGCCAUCAGAUAAAGUGAAUCCAUUAUUGCAUAUAACAUGACACCACUGUUUUUCAAGCAAAUUCAAAGACAUUGUGUGUUUUGAGUGUGAUGAUCUUUGACCUUAGGAGGACUAUGGACGGAAGCUGAUACUGGCCGACAGGGACAUGGUGGAACAGAAGGCUGAUGAGCUCCUGAAAGAGUCUGAGUCAUCACUGAGAAGAUAUGCGUGGGUCUGGCCAGGGUGGGAGCUGAGGACCAGGUCAUCCGCAUGGGGACGCUCUGUCAGCUGGUGUCUUGUGACCUGGCGGCCCGCUACAUUCCAUGAUCGUGACGGGUCACCUGCACACGCUGGAGGUAGACAUGCUUUGUCUGUCAGACGUCACUGCAGGACCUCAUGACAGACAGCUCAACGUACACCUAAUGCGCACACCCCAUCUCAAGAUGGACUCUCAGGAUCUCUGAAGGUUCUCCACAAAGACAGUCUGAGACAGUUACACCCAGGGCCAUGUGUUGUAUAGGCCUACCAACUCUUAUCCAUACCGUUGUUGACUUGACUCGCCUAACAGAUGAAUGACACAAAUGCAGCAGUAGGGUCUGGGUGAUGGGUCAACAUCAUGCCAUAAAAGGAGAGCCAGUGAUUACUUUAGGGCUAUUGUACUCUGAAUACUCCAAUGUAUCCCGUAGUUUAAUCUCACUAUGGCCUUGGAACAAGGGUCAACAAAUUAUCUUGACGCUCACUGGUCGUUGUCUGUAGUGUGUGUCAUAAAAUGUCAUUAACCCGAUUGAGGAAAUGAAGAAAAAAGUCACGGAGGAACAACUGCUCAGUAACAUCAGUGUCUUGGUAAAAAGUGAAGCUGUUCUGUAGUCUAGUAUUGGAAAAUGACAACACAGACUAAGGCAAAUGCAAUCAGUUAUUUUAGGGCCAGUUACCCAGACCCAGAUUAAGCCAAUUCCUGGAUUUUAAAACCCCUUUUUAAUAGAGAUUAUCCAAAGAGAAUGCUUUUAGGUGAUCAAAUUGUUACGAGUGUUUGCUACUUCCUAUUGUUAUUUUCUUAGGCAAUCGGAGUUGCACAGCGCGACUACAAAAAAGACAACCUGGAAUGCUAGCUACCUUUUUCUGGGUCUGUAAAACCAGCCUUAAGAGUGCGAGAUUUGGUAAAGUAAUUAUUUACAGAUAGGAAAUCAUGGAUGACAAACAGAGCAAUUUCCUUGUUUAAAGACAUGCAGCACCUCUGUCAAACAUGUAACAAUUAACAGUGGAACUAAACAAAUAUUGAGAUAGACAAGCUUAGCCAAACCUUUUCAAGGUGAAGUUUAAACUAUUAUCCCAUGUCAACCUCCAUUCCUGCAACACAAAUAAUGAGAGAAUAUAAAAUGUGCAGUAAAAUCAUUUAUUACAUUGCAAAAGAAGAUUGGAACUGGCCAACUGCAAACUUAAUGAGGACAAAAUCCUGGGUUUUAGGCUAACUUCAUUUUGAUCUGUUUCAACCACCCCCUAUGACAAGGUGGUAAGCAGCUGUUCAUGGUUCAAAUAAAGCUGCUGUGUGCCGUCCAGGGAAUUAUGUCAAGCGUGGUCAAGAGGAAUUCUUACUUUCCCUUAGGAAAUAUUACCCUGACAAGGAUGUUCGAUCAAA